ACUCUGGAAUUGCCUUUGAAACUGUGAAGCUCGAGUGCGGGAGAGGUGAGUGGAAUUCCCAGUGUAGAGGUGGAAUUCGUAGAUAUUGGGAAGAACACCGGUGGCGAAGGCGGCUCACUGGCCCGUUUCUGACGCUCAUGCACGACAGCGUGGGGAUCAAACAGGAUUAGAUACCCUGGUAGUCCACGCCGUAAACUAUGGAUGCUAGCCGUUGGGCAGCUUGCUGUUCAGUGGCGCAGCUAACGCAUUAAGCAUCCCGCCUGGGGAGUACGGCCGCAAGGUUGAAACUCAAAGGAAUUGACGGGGGCCCGCACAAGCGGUGGAGCAUGUGGUUUAAUUCGACGCAACGCGCAGAACCUUACCAGGGUUUGACAUCCCAAGACCGCUAGAGAGAUCUAGUUUCCCCGCAAGGGGCUUGGAGACAGGUGCUG
rnacentral:rRNA from 1 species